CUCACUCUAAUAGAGGAUCUUAGACGUGUCUCCGGUGGAAAUGUGAGCAUGGUGAACAUUAAGUCUGACAACAACUCAUAACUACGCUGAAUGUGUUCUAAACAUUGAACCUUGGGAAACUUACGCCUUUUGGUGGUGGAGGAUGAGCAUUCUUGGCCUGGAUCUUCUCUUCGCUGUAACGACCGUCCAUGGCUGCUCACUUGGUGUUGAGGCGGCCCGCAAUGCAGCCCAGCCAGAUUCUCUCCUGGUGCUGUUGUGUCUUCCAUUUUAAAUGUCCCAUAUGUUUGGGCUUUGCUCCCUGUAAAUUCCAGGGAGAACUGCUGGGGUGUCCAUUAUCCUUUCCACAGUUCACGUCAGUCCUCGUUGUUGAGCUCGGUGGCUGACUGUUAGCGCAACUCUGCUCACAAUUUUGAGACAUCUGCAGAGUGGUUUCAUUCCCUGACUGUCCAUUUACAUCCACAUAAACUUCAAGAUGGCAGUUUUUCGAUUCCAGAAUUGACACCCUCUGCAGUAGUCCAUGAUAGUCCUCAGUAGAGAAGGAAGCCAUCUUGAUGGCUGGUCUUGUUACUAACACCAGGUUUGUGCUAAUUAGCAGCCCACACUCACAUCAGCACGAAACAACUGAUUAUCCACAAAAACGAAAAAUACAGUCCCACAGAUUAAAAAGUAUCCAGGAGUCGGUGGUUCUAAAUACUAAAUAUUUUAGAAGGUGAACGAGCUUAUUCUUCAAGAAAAAAGUGUCAACAGAGCCAAA